rnacentral:rRNA from 1 species
ACUCCUACGGGAGGCAGCAGUGGGGAAUAUUGGACAAUGGGGGCAACCCUGAUCCAGCAAUGCCGCGUGUGUGAAGAAGGGCCUGCGGGUUGUAAAGCACUUUCAGUGGGGAGGAAGACCUCGUUGUUAAUACCAACGAGCGAUGACGUUACCCACAGAAGAAGCACCGGCUAACUCUGUGCCAGCAGCCGCGGUAAUACAGAGGGUGCAAGCGUUAAUCGGAAUUACUGGGCGUAAAGCGUGCGCAGGCGGUCUGUUAAGCGAGAUGUGAAAGCCCCGGGCUCAAGCCUGGGAACUGCAUUUCGAACUGGCAGACUAGAGUCUUGUAGAGGGGGGUAAAUUCCAGGUGGUAG